AGAGUUUGAUCCUGGCUCAGGAUGAACGCUAGCGGCGGGCCUAAUACAUGCAAGUCGAACGGUGCAGCAAUGCAUAGUGGCAGACGGGUGCGUAACGCGUAUGCAACCUACCUUUUAUCGGGGGACAACAUUUCGAAAGAAGUGCUAAUACCGCGUAAGAUAGUAGUGGGACAUCCCACAGCUAUUAAACUUUCGGGGAUAGAAGAUGGGCAUGCGUCUGAUUAGCUAGUUGGCGGGGUAACGGCCCACCAAGGCGACGAUCAGUAGGGGAACUGAGAGGUUGAUCCCCCACAUUGGCACUGAGAUACGGGCCAGACUCCUACGGGAGGCAGCAGUAGGGAAUAUUGGGCAAUGGACGGAAGUCUGACCCAGCCACGCCGCGUGCAGGAGGAAGGCGCUCUGCGUUGUAAACUGCUUUAGCAGGGGAAGAAAAGACUCAUGCGUGAGGAAUUGACGGUACCCUGAGAAUAAGCACCGGCUAACUACGUG
rnacentral:rRNA from 1 species